GUGUGUGAGGAGAGAACGUGACGUUGGGGGAAGGCAGGCUUGGUGGGAUGGUGGGGUGGAGGGCAGCAAGAGCAGGGAGUUGGAUGAAUGGGGCCUUUGGCCUGGCCUGGGAGCCCCAGAGUCCCCACGACACAGUGACAAUUAUGCGGUGGCUCCCCAGGUUGUCAGUACUGGAGACCUAUUUCAUCCCCAAGGAUGGGAGCCUGGCCUCAUACAAGGAGUAUAUUAGCAUGUUGCCCGGCGUGGACCCCCCCGAGACCUUUGGCCAGCACCCUAAUGCAGAUGUGGCCUCCCAGAUCACUGAGGCACAAACUCUCUUUGAGACUCUGCUUUCCCUGCAACCCCAGAUUACACCCACCAGGGCCGGAGACCAGAGCCGGGAAGAGAAGGUAAGGACAGACAGACACCUGGGGGAGGGCAAGCAAUGAGGAAGAGGGGGUCUGCACUCAGAGCUCAGAGCUCCUGCCUCGGCAGGUCCUCGAGUUGGCUGCUGAUGUGAAACAGAAGAUCCCUGAAAUGAUCGACUAUGAAGGGACCCGAAAACUGCUGGCUAUGGACCCCUCCCCACUCAAUGUGGUGCUUCUCCAGGAGAUUCAGAGAUACAACAAGCUUAUGGAGACCAUCCUGCAUAUCCCUCACAAAAGCCAUUGGCUUCAUGGACCCGGGACUUGGCCAUGCGUGUGGAACAGUUUGAGCUGUGGGCCAGCCGCGCACGGCCUCCUGUGAUCUUCUGGCUGUCUGGCUUCACCUUUCCCACCAGCUUCCUCACUGCUGUCCUGCAGUCUUCAGCUCGCCAAAACAAUAUUUCAGUGGACAGCCUCUCUUGGGAGUUUAUUGUUUCCACUGUGGAC